rnacentral:misc_RNA from 1 species
AAUAAAAUGACUAUGAAAUUUAACCCAAAUGACUCUAUAAAAUGCAUGUAUCACUUAUUCUCCAUCUAGUGCUGUAUGGUGGGCAAGUUACAGUUCAAGUGAAUGCAUAAUUUGGAGGUGAGACAUUCUUGCUUUUAUUUUCAAUAAAGUUUACAUUACUGCAUGCCAAAUUAUUUUUAGAAACCAAUCCUUACUGGAUCCAUCUUGCUCUGAUACAGUGAUACUAUCCUUGAAAUUUCAUUCUCUAUGCCACCACCUUUUUUGGGGGUUAGGGGAAUGGUUGUGUUAUCAACUCCAGUAACAUGUAGUUGAAAGUCAUGGGUAGUUGACAUCAAAUGUUCACAUGCUACCAAAUUUAGGAUUCCUGUUAUGGUAAAAACAGGAAGGACCAAAAGGUUAAGACUUAGGAAUGUGAUUUAUAUAACCUGCCACAUAUUUUUGGGUUAUAUGCUAAACAAGAGGCUAGGGGUGUGCUGUGUGCAAUCAGUCGGUUCAAUUCAAAACUAAACCUAGUCCGAAAACCCAAAAUGUGUUUAAUGAGAAAUCGAACCGAACCAAAAUAAAGAGCUAACUAAACUGAAUGGAACUGAAAUAAAUUAGUUCGGUUUGGUCCGUCUGUUCUGUCAUUUUAAAGAACUAAACAAAAUAACAGAUCAACAUCUGGAAACAAACCCCAUUAAUUCAUCAAACAAUCAAACAAGUCCAGCAUUCAAGGGACGGAUGUGAGCAAAAUCACUUUUUGAACUUAUAAGUAAUUGUUGUUUCUUCCUUCUUUCAAUCACAGGUAACCUCAUCUUUAAACCAAACCAGCAAAAAAGAAAAUAAAGGACCAUGGCUUAGAAUGAACAUUAGCGUUUGCUGUACAAGAUCGUAUAUUCUUGGGUAAUUAGGUUCCAUACGAGAAAAUGUACCAGUAAAGAAUGGUCCAUCACAAAACCUGUUUCUAUCUGUUGUAUUUCUCUGAUGUUAAACUAUAGCAAAAGACAAUUCCAAGGCACUCAGCAACACAGAAACAGUAAAAACCGAUGCAGAAAUUUGUUCGUGAUGCUACAAUACUGUGUUUGGAGAUCGUCCAGUUCCAGAACCAUCCAACACAAUUUCAAACAAAUCAGCUUCAGAUUCUUCAUCGAAAUCAACUGUCUGGUUAUUAGCACCAUUGCUGUUGUGGGUACCUUUAGUUGUAAUUCUAUUAAGCCACUGAGAGUCUAUCCUUCCCAUUGAGAAGAGUUCCUUGCUAUCUUCGUAGCCCAAAGCAGGGGAAUUUACAAGAGGGCCAAUGAAACAAGGAUUUGGUGUUCGUUGAGCAUUUGCCGCCGCAUAACUGAAAGCACUUUGUCCAAAAUUGACUAGAACUAAUGUCUCAUUGUUGGCUGCUAUUGUUGGGUACAAUGGUGUCCCAAAUUCCUCUGACUUGCAAUGAAUUACAUGGACCAGCUCUGCAUCUAAUGUGAAAAAUACUUUCUUUUGCCUUGGAUCGAAUCCACAACCAAUUACUUUAUCCCUUCUUGUCCAUUCUCCUCUUUCUGAUUCAAACACCAAUUUUAUCCCUUCAAGGUAGACUGAACCAUUGGAGUUGAAUCCUAUGGAACCUGGAUAGCUUCCAGGAAGUUUCAAAGGAAGAGAACCUCCUGUAGUGAGCCCUACAGAUAACAUAACAGCUUCUUGCUUGCCAUCAUCUUUACCAGCAAGCUUCGAUUCUUCAAUCUUGUUGAAUCGAUAGCUGCUACUAACAUGUAAUAAAGAUUCUGAAUUCAGUUUCGGGUUAGAAUUUUCUUGGAUAAGUUUAGUCUUCUCGCCUUCCGUAACCUUGGUGAUGGACUCAUCAUGAUCCUCGCCUUGAGAAUACAAAAUUGUGAUUUCAAAGUAGGCCUCUUGAGGAAAAGCUGAAUUCCCCAACGGAGGCCCUGGUAAAGGCAAAGCAGUUCUAAUUACAGAAGAAGCAGACAUAGAAGCAUUACUUACAUUAACCUUCUUUAAUCCAGAAUUUAGUCUUAUCUUUUGCAUGAAAUCAGCUGAUCCUUGACACACUUCCCAGCUUAUCUCCAUCUCCGCUUCCCUUCCAUUAUCGCCAACUGCACAGAAACCUAAGAGGGAUGAUCGCGUGGAGGGGGACGACAUAUAACCUGUAAAGCCAAAUCUAGACCAUCCAUUUUCAACUGCGUCUGUAAUAAGCGAUGGAUGAUCAAUCCAACUGAACAAAGGCCUAGCUGAAACCCCACGUCGGAAGACACAAUAAUUUCCUUUUCUUUUGCCGUCUAAUUCAAGCUGAUGGUGAAGAAUCCCUUGAUGAAGCUUUGUAAUCCCAUCUUGCAAGCUCUCUGUUCUAGUGGUCGUCGUUUCAACAGCGCCUUUACCUCUUCUGAAACAAGAGCAUCUCCGAAUAAACACGAUAAAAAUUAUGGCAAUAGCAAUAACAGACAACACCACCAACAGAAGAUGUUCCCAUUCAAGCAUUCUUCUUUCCAGAAAUCAAGUUUCCCUGUGCUUUCUAGUAUUGUAUAUGGGAUUAAGCAGGCAUGGGUCUUGGAGAUUUUUUUUAAGAAGGGAAGAGGUUAUGAGGAAGGAGGCGUGGACCAAGACUGGUCCUAGAAAGGCAGGAAGAUGGUGUAUGCAAACCGCAAAACAAAGCAAAAAAGGCGACAUUUUCAAAGAGAUGGCAUUAACGUUUUUUUCUUUCCAGUCCAUGGUUAAAUUAAUUAGUGAGAACCGACAGUCUUCCCUCUCUAAAGAACGCAUUAGUUGAUUCAUAAUGUCAUACUAAUUUUCAAAGGGGAAAGAGAGAGAGAGAGAGGCAAAACUCAAGAAAGAAGUUGAUUAAGUGCAGUAUAGCUAACGAUAGUACAGGUUGUUUCAUAGUUAUUAAAAUUUGCCAAAAGGAAGAGGGUAAAAAAAACUACUACAUGCCUGAAAGUGAUGCCAAUAUGUAAAUUAAACUGUCAAGAAUGAAUUCUUCAAAAACUAUAUUGAUCAAUGAACAGAAGGAAGAACCAAUACCUCCUGAGGAAGUUCAUGUGCA